CUCUGUUCUCUUCUGUUACAUGAGUACAGACCUUUAUGAAGUGCUGUUUCAACCUUUUAAGUCUAAAAUAUAUGUAUAAUAUACUGUAUAUGUAACAUGUACAGAGCUCAGAUCAGUGUGUGAAGGUGUGAACCUCUGCGGUUGCUGCUAGCGACUGCAUGGACUCUUUCCUGUUGAUAUCCAUGAUGUUCCAGGCGGCCUGAGACUCAGCCUGACACCGUCGUGUAAAGGCACCAUGCGAGGGCCAGUCGUGGCUAAUAAGGUGUAAAGGAUAUUCAUUAGUGCUGAUGAGCCAGCUGGCUCCAGAUCCAUCUGACUGAGGUCAGAGAGGAGGAGGAGGAGAGAGAAACAACAUGGAGUCAACUUCAUUUAAAGAGCAGGUGCUGUUGUCCUUGUGGCCAACAGGGGGCGGCAUUGCUGCGCCGGCCUCAGCAGAGAGCUGCUGCACGGUUCCCAGUCCGGCCAGUGGGAAAAACAGGAGCUGGACCGAGGGACCAGUGAGGAAGAGCAUUGUGUGAAGGAGGAAGAAGCGCGAGGAGUCAGAUCAUGUGACGCAGGACGUGAAGACGCAAACAGGCCUCGUCAAAACCACCGCCAUGAUGCUGUAAACGGAGCGAGCCUGGUUUUGAACUCGUCCUCCUCCACCAGCGCAGAGCUGCAGGUACUGAGCGAGUUCUGCGUCCUGAUGCUGCUGACGACAGCUCACUCACUGCUCGGACCUUUCUCUUCUCACGUCUCUGUUUGUGUUGUCUUUGUGUUCCUCUUGUUUUUUCUUGGUUUUGUUAGUGGUUCCACCCGUUUUUGUUAAUUUAUAAUAUCUCCCCAUUUACUCUACACUAUGUGGCUUUUGCUGCAAUCAUCCUGUCUCUGGCCUUUUCAUUUACACCAAUUAUUUCAGUAUUUCAAGAAUAAAAAGUCCCAGAGUCCUUUCUUCUCCCA
rnacentral:lncRNA from 1 species